UUUUGUUGUUGCAUAAAAACAAAACAAAGAAACACUCACUUCGAAACCGGAAGUAUUUUACUGAACAACUCACCGCAGAUGUUUUGAUAGCAGCUCUGCUCCUGGAAGUGAAACUACACGAAGGGAGAACUCACGGCACAGGUAGGGAGAUUGCUGCAGCCAGGCGGCUUGCUGUGAAGAGCGUGUCAGUGUGCGCCUGUUUCCUGCGUUGGAGAACAAAGCACACCUGUCUGACGAUGUCAGCCUCACGAUGAGGCCGUGACGAGACGCUCGGUUUUCCAAGAACAGCAGCAGACGUCUGUGACGUCCGUCGCACAUCUCUGAAACCUGAGCAGACGUGCACAUUCACAUUCAUAUCUGGCCCCCCAUAAAUCAUCAUCAGUCACCGUUGCAACAGCACUUGUUGUUGUUUUACAUACCAUGAGGUAGCUGUUGUGCAGGUGAUGAAUAAAGGUCAUGUUAAAUAUA